UACGUAGGGUGCAAGCGUUGUCCGGAAUUAUUGGGCGUAAAGAGCGUGUAGGCGGCCCCGACCAGUCCGCUGUGAAAGUCCAGGGCUCAACCCUGGAAUGCCGGUGGAUACUGUCGGGCUAGAGUCCGGAAUGGGCGAGUGGAAUUCCUGGUGUAGCGGUGAAAUGCGCAGAUAUCAGGAGGAACACCAAUGGCGAAGGCAGCUCGCUGGGACGUGACUGACGCUGAGACGCGAAAGCGUGGGGAGCAAACAGG
rnacentral:rRNA from 1 species